rnacentral:rRNA from 1 species
UACAGAGGUCCCAAGCGUUGUUCGGAUUCACUGGGCGUAAAGGGUGCGUAGGUGGCUUGGUAAGUUUGAUGUGAAAUCUCCGGGCUUAACCGGAAAGGUCAACUGAUACUGUGCGACUAGAGUGCGGAAGGGGCAACUGGAAUUCUCGGUGUAGCGGUGAAAUGCGUAGAUAUCGAGAGGAACACCUGCGGCGAAGGCGGGUUGCUGGGCCGACACUGACACUGGAGAGACGGAAAGCUAGGGGAGCGAAUGGG